CGCGGCCUAUCAGCUUGUUGGUGAGGUAACGGCUCACCAAGGCAACGACGGGUAGCUGGUCUGAGAGGACGAUCAGCCACACUGGGACUGAGACACGGCCCAGACUCCUACGGGAGGCAGCAGCAGGGAAUAUUGCACAAUGGGCGAAAGCCUGAUGCAGCGACGCCGCGUGGGGGAUGAAGGCCUUCGGGUUGUAAACCCCUUUCAGGAGGGACGAAGCGAAAGUGACGGUACCUCCAGAAGUAGCCCCGGCCAACUACGUGCCAGCAGCCGCGGUAAUACGUAGGGGGCGAGCGUUGUCCGGAUUUAUUGGGCGUAAAGAGCUCGUAGGCGGCUCAACAAGUCGGCCGUGAAAGCCCGAGGCUUAACCUCGGGACGCCGGUCGAAACUGUUGUGGCUAGGGUCCGGUAGAGGAGGGUGGAAUUCCCGGUGUAGCGGUGAAAUGCGCAGAUAUCGGGAGGAACACCAGUAGCGAAGGCGGCUCUCUGGGCCGGCACCGACGCUGAGGAGCGAAAGCUAGGGGAGCAAACAGGAUUAGAUACCCUGGUAGUCCUAGCCGUAAACGAUGGGUACUAGGUGUGGCGGAUUCAUUGACAUCUGCCGUGCCGAAGCUAACGCAUUAAGUACCCCGCCUGGGGAGUACGG
rnacentral:rRNA from 1 species